rnacentral:rRNA from 1 species
AGAGUUUGAUCCUGGCUCAGAACGAACGCUGGCGGCAGGCCUCAAACAUGCAAGUCUAGGGGGUAGCAAUACCACCGGCGGACAGGUGCGUAACGCGUGGGAAUGUACCUAUUGGUUCGGAACAACUGAGGGAAACUUCAGCUAAUACCGAAUGUGCCCGUAAGGGGAAAGAUUUAUCGCCAAUGGAUCAGCCCGCGUUCGAUUAGCUAGUUGGUGAGGUAAUGGCUCACCAAGGCGACGAUCGAUAGCUGUUCUGAGAGGAAGAUCAGCCACACUGGGACUGAGACACGGCCCAGACUCCUACGGGAGGCAGCAGUUGGGAAUCUUGGACAAUGGGGGAAACCCUGAUCCAGCCAUGCCGCGUGAGUGAUGAAGGCCUUCGGGUUGUAAAACUCUUUCGCGCACGACGAUAAUGACGGUAGUGCGAGAAGAAGCUCCGGCUAACUUCGUGCCAGCAGCCGCGGUAAUACGAAGGGGGCUAGCGUUGUUCGGAAUUACUGGGCGUAAAGCGCGCGCAGGCGGUUCUCCAAGUCAGUGGUGAAAGCCCGGAGCUCAACUCCGGAAUUGCCAUUGAAACUGUUGAACUUGAGGACGAGAGAGGUGAGUGGAAUUCCCAGUGUAGAGGUGAAAUUCGUAGAUAUUGGGAAGAACACCGGUGGCGAAGGCGGCUCACUGGCUCGUUUCUGACGCUCAGGCGCGACAGCGUGGGGAUCAAACAGGAUUAGAUACCCCCGUAGUCC